rnacentral:rRNA from 1 species
UACAGAGGGUGCGAGCGUUGUUCGGAAUUACUGGGCGUAAAGCGCGCGCAGGCGGCCUUUUAAGUCUGACGGUGAAAUGCCGGGGCUCAACCCCGUGCCCGCCGGAGAUACUGGGAGGCUGGAGACAUGUAGAGGCAAGCGGAAUUCCGGGUGUAGCGGUGGAAUGCGUAGAGAUCCGGAAGAACACCGGAGGCGAAGGCGGCUUGCUGGGCAUUGUCUGACGCUGAGGCGCGAAAGCGUGGGGAGCGAACAGG